GACAAGCGCUGGCGGCAUGCCUAACACAUGCAAGUCGAACGGACAGACCAGGGAAGCUUUUCGGAGUGGAACUGGAAAGUUAGUGGCGGAUGGGUGAGUAACGCGUGGACAACCUACCUUGUAAAGGGGAAUAACCUCGAGAAAUCGAAGCUAAUACCCCAUAAUAACCUUGCUUCGCAUGAAGUAAGGAGGAAAGGCGGCCUUAGCGCUGUCGAUACAAGAUGGGUCCGCGUCUGAUUAGCUAGUUGGUGAGGUAAAGGCUCACCAAGGCGACGAUCAGUAGCCGGCCUGAGAGGGUGAACGGCCACAUUGGGACUGAGACACGGCCCAAACUCCUACGGGAGGCAGCAGUGGGGAAUCUUCCGCAAUGGGCGAAAGCCUGACGGAGCAAUGCCGCGUGAGUGAAGAAGGCCUUCGGGUUGUAAAACUCUGUCCUUAUCGAAGAGAGAGUGUUGUAGUAACUGACAAUACUAGGACGGUAGAUGAGGAGGAAGCCCCGGCUAACUAUGUG
rnacentral:rRNA from 1 species